GGGUUGUGAGGUUAAGCGACUAAGCGUACACGGUGGAUGCCCUGGCAGUCAGAGGCGAUGAAGGACGUGCUAAUCUGCGAUAAGCGUCGGUAAGGUGAUAUGAACCGUUAUAACCGGCGAUUUCCGAAUGGGGAAACCCAGUGUGUUUCGACACACUAUCAUUAACUGAAUCCAUAGGUUAAUGAGGCGAACCGGGGGAACUGAAACAUCUAAGUACCCCGAGGAAAAGAAAUCAACCGAGAUUCCCCCAGUAGCGGCGAGCGAACGGGGAGCAGCCCAGAGCCUGAAUCAGUGUGUGUGUUAGUGGAAGCGUCUGGAAAGGCGCGCGAUACAGGGUGACAGCCCCGUACACAAAAAUGCACAUACUGUGAGCUCGAUGAGUAGGGCGGGACACGUGGUAUCCUGUCUGAAUAUGGGGGGACCAUCCUCCAAGGCUAAAUACUCCUGACUGACCGAUAGUGAACCAGUACCGUGAGGGAAAGGCGAAAAGAACCCCGGCGAGGGGAGUGAAAAAGAACCUGAAACCGUGUACGUACAAGCAGUGGGAGCCUCUUAAUGGGGUGACUGCGUACCUUUUGUAUAAUGGGUCAGCGACUUAUAUUCUGUAGCAAGGUUAACCGAAUAGGGGAGCCGAAGGGAAACCGAGUCUUAACUGGGCGUUAAGUUGCAGGGUAUAGACCCGAAACCCGGUGAUCUAGCCAUGGGCAGGUUGAAGGUUGGGUAACACUAACUGGAGGACCGAACCGACUAAUGUUGAAAAAUUAGCGGAUGACUUGUGGCUGGGGGUGAAAGGCCAAUCAAACCGGGAGAUAGCUGGUUCUCCCCGAAAGCUAUUUAGGUAGCGCCUCGUGAAUUCAUCUCCGGGGGUAGAGCACUGUUUCGGCAAGGGGGUCAUCCCGACUUACCAACCCGAUGCAAACUGCGAAUACCGGAGAAUGUUAUCACGGGAGACACACGGCGGGUGCUAACGUCCGUCGUGAAGAGGGAAACAACCCAGACCGCCAGCUAAGGUCCCAAAGUCAUGGUUAAGUGGGAAACGAUGUGGGAAGGCCCAGACAGCCAGGAUGUUGGCUUAGAAGCAGCCAUCAUUUAAAGAAAGCGUAAUAGCUCACUGGUCGAGUCGGCCUGCGCGGAAGAUGUAACGGGGCUAAACCAUGCACCGAAGCUGCGGCAGCGACGCUUAUGCGUUGUUGGGUAGGGGAGCGUUCUGUAAGCCUGUGAAGGUGUACUGUGAGGUAUGCUGGAGGUAUCAGAAGUGCGAAUGCUGACAUAAGUAACGAUAAAGCGGGUGAAAAGCCCGCUCGCCGGAAGACCAAGGGUUCCUGUCCAACGUUAAUCGGGGCAGGGUGAGUCGACCCCUAAGGCGAGGCCGAAAGGCGUAGUCGAUGGGAAACAGGUUAAUAUUCCUGUACUUGGUGUUACUGCGAAGGGGGGACGGAGAAGGCUAUGUUGGCCGGGCGACGGUUGUCCCGGUUUAAGCGUGUAGGCUGGUUUUCCAGGCAAAUCCGGAAAAUCAAGGCUGAGGCGUGAUGACGAGGCACUACGGUGCUGAAGCAACAAAUGCCCUGCUUCCAGGAAAAGCCUCUAAGCAUCAGGUAACAUCAAAUCGUACCCCAAACCGACACAGGUGGUCAGGUAGAGAAUACCAAGGCGCUUGAGAGAACUCGGGUGAAGGAACUAGGCAAAAUGGUGCCGUAACUUCGGGAGAAGGCACGCUGAUAUGUAGGUGAAGUCCCUCGCGGAUGGAGCUGAAAUCAGUCGAAGAUACCAGCUGGCUGCAACUGUUUAUUAAAAACACAGCACUGUGCAAACACGAAAGUGGACGUAUACGGUGUGACGCCUGCCCGGUGCCGGAAGGUUAAUUGAUGGGGUUAGCGGUAACGCGAAGCUCUUGAUCGAAGCCCCGGUAAACGGCGGCCGUAACUAUAACGGUCCUAAGGUAGCGAAAUUCCUUGUCGGGUAAGUUCCGACCUGCACGAAUGGCGUAAUGAUGGCCAGGCUGUCUCCACCCGAGACUCAGUGAAAUUGAACUCGCUGUGAAGAUGCAGUGUACCCGCGGCAAGACGGAAAGACCCCGUGAACCUUUACUAUAGCUUGACACUGAACAUUGAGCCUUGAUGUGUAGGAUAGGUGGGAGGCUUUGAAGUGUGGACGCCAGUCUGCAUGGAGCCGGCCUUGAAAUACCACCCUUUAAUGUUUGAUGUUCUAACGUUGGCCCCUGAUCGGGGUUGCGGACAGUGUCUGGUGGGUAGUUUGACUGGGGCGGUCUCCUCCUAAAGAGUAACGGAGGAGCACGAAGGUUGGCUAAUCCUGGUCGGACAUCAGGAGGUUAGUGCAAUGGCAUAAGCCAGCUUGACUGCGAGCGUGACGGCGCGAGCAGGUGCGAAAGCAGGUCAUAGUGAUCCGGUGGUUCUGAAUGGAAGGGCCAUCGCUCAACGGAUAAAAGGUACUCCGGGGAUAACAGGCUGAUACCGCCCAAGAGUUCAUAUCGACGGCGGUGUUUGGCACCUCGAUGUCGGCUCAUCACAUCCUGGGGCUGAAGUAGGUCCCAAGGGUAUGGCUGUUCGCCAUUUAAAGUGGUACGCGAGCUGGGUUUAGAACGUCGUGAGACAGUUCGGUCCCUAUCUGCCGUGGGCGCUGGAGAACUGAGGGGGGCUGCUCCUAGUACGAGAGGACCGGAGUGGACGCAUCACUGGUGUUCGGGUUGUCAUGCCAAUGGCACUGCCCGGUAGCUAAAUGCGGAAGAGAUAAGUGCUGAAAGCAUCUAAGCACGAAACUUGCCCCGAGAUGAGUUCUCCCUGACUCCUUGAGAGUCCUGAAGGAACGUUGAAGACGACGACGUUGAUAGGCCGGGUGUGUAAGCGCAGCGAUGCGUUGAGCUAACCGGUACUAAUGAACCGUGAGGCUUAACCUUACAACGCCGAAG
rnacentral:rRNA from 1 species